AAAGGAAACUGUAGCCACAAACCUGCCUGAGAGAGCACAGUCCUGUUGUAUUUCAGGCUGCAUUAGACAAAAUGAUCAUUAGAGGAAUGGGUCCAUAAAUGUUGCAUUGUCUACAAUGGCAGUAAGGAGCUAUUUUAUGUACCCUGUGUGGAUACUUCUGUGUUUUCCUUCAGCCGUGAGAACAGAGAAUUGCUCUGAAUUGCAGAAAGAGGCCAUCAUUGGUCAUCAGAUCCAUCAGGAACUGUCAACCAUCAAUUGUCAUUACAACAGGAAUGAAAGUCAACAGCUUGUAGUAUCUCUGGAAACAAAACACAUAUUGUGUAAAUACAAGUAUGAUAAACUAUCCUGGAGUAAACAAAUCUGCAAUGACAACAUAAAAUUUCAAUGGACACCACAAACAGGAGAAAUAUCAUUUCAGCUUUUAAAUCUUCAGUUUAAUAAUUCAGCCAUAUACAAAUGUACUGUGGAAAACUAUUUACCACCUCCUACAAGGUGUUUGGCACAGAAGAGCAUAUUCAUUGAUGUCCAAGAAAAGAAUUGGUUUCCUCCUGAGUCUGGUUCCACUCAAAGAUUCUUCAGGGAGAUUUUAUGCGGACGGGGGAGGUGGUAGCUUAGCGGCUAAGUCAUUGAACUUUGGCUCCAUGGGUUGUGGGUUUGAGUCCCGGACAAAUACAAAGCUGCUACUCUUGGGACUCUGAGCAAGGCCCAAUAACACCCCACCAGGUGCUCAGUUGUGAUAAAGUAUUUAAAGUACUCUCCAAUGGACAGUGUCAAGCCCAGCUGUGAAAGGAGGAGAGUUGGGCAUUGGGCUAGCAACCUGACCCUGUAAAAAAACUGCUUCAGAAACAGCAACAUCUCCAUCUGUAUCUGUGUCAUGUGAGAAGGGGCCUGGUGGAUCUCUUACCAUGCUUUGCACUUCUAAAGGCUUUUACCCAUAUGAGCUGAAGCAGGCCUGGCUCAGAAGUGAAAAACCUAACAGUUACCAAAACUCCUCUGUUGUCCUGAACUCCUCUGAUAUCAGAUGGAAACAAAUACAUAACACAGAUGGGACUUGGAGCAUUACAUCAUCCCUUCCCCUGUCUUCAGGCUUAGGAGUGUACUACUGCUGGGUGAAUCAUUCAGCCCUGAGUCAGCCAAUAAUUGUAAACAUUACUUCUACUGAGUGCACUGAGAUAAAAGAGAGAUUAACAGUGUUGGUUACAUUAGUCUCAGGAAUCAGUUGUGGUGUGAUCGCUGGUAUUGGGCUGAUCCUUGCCGGAUGUUAUAAAUGUUCCAGAAAAAGAAAUUCUUCAAGGUCUGAAGUAGAAGCAGCUCCAUUGCCUGAGCCUGUGUCUCAUCGUACACUGGGAUCACUGGGAAAUCAUCAGCCUGUUCCAGAGGUCUACUCAACACUGGCAGACUAUCAGCCUGUUCCAGAGGUCUAUUCAACACUGGGAGACUAUCAGCCUGUUCCAGAGGUCUAUUCAACACUGGGAGACUAUCAGCCUGUUCCAGAGGUCUACUCAACACUUGGGAGCCAUCAGCCUGUUCCAUGCAGAAACAAUAGCAAUGGCAGCCCAUCUCUCUCUCUAUGACACUCAUUAACAACCGAACACUUUAAAAAAAUGUGAAUUAUGCACCCACUGAAUUAUGUGUUAAUUUUGUUUAAUUAAUUUUGCAUUUCAGACACCAUUAUAAAAAAUGUCUUGUGAAACUGCAUUUGGGCUGCUAGGAAUCUAACUUGUUAAUUGUUACUACUAUUCUUAUUAUAAGUAUUAUUUCCAUUUUUGUUGUUGUUUAUUGUUAAUAUUACUAUUGCCUUUUAUUCUUAUUAUGUUAUUUUUUGUCUAACUUAAUUAUCUCUUUUUCUCUUCCUUUUCCUCUUUAAUGUUUUUUCUUUCUGUGCACAACAAGCAUCAUGCAUAAAACCCAGGGGUGUUACUCACACCCAGAAGCAGCUGAUUAUAAAAGCAUAUAACAGUACUUGUUGUAUUUCUAAUGUUUUUAUAGUUUUUUUGUGUGUUUUAAAAUCACAACACAAUGGUAGGUCAAUAACAGUGUAUAGUGUGGUGAUUGAAGCAAUCAUAGUAUAAUUUAAUUCCAUUUAUUUGUAUAGUGCUUUUAACAAUAGACAUUGUCACCAGAAAGAUUUCCAGAGAUAAAGCGAUUAUAAAUAAUGUAUACGUUUGUUCUUUAUAAUUGAAUGUUUGUCUCUAAUGAGUAAGCCAUUGGCGACUGUGGCAAGGAAAAACUCCCUGAGAUGGCAUGAGGAAGAAACCUUAAAAAGAUAUAAAUUCAAAAGGGAACCCAUCCUCAUCUGGGUGGCACUAAAUGUCUAAAUGUCCGUUGUUGUAUUUCUUUUGUCACUCUUACGGUAUAGUUUAGUUUAUUAUGAGUCUGGCUGAUGUAUAAAAACAGCUGAUGUCUUAUAAAUAAAAAGUUAAUAAACAAAUGAAUGAGAAUCACUGACUCACAUGACUUUAAAAUCAGGGCCAUGCUCAUUCGUCUAUUUUUCCUAACUAAACACUAAAAUAGUCUCACUGCAGUUACUUUCCUUGGGAAAUGUCAAU